rnacentral:snoRNA from 1 species
CCCCUCUCAGGGUCGCACCUGGAGAGUUCCCAGUAUUCUGCCAGUCUCGACUACGGGAAGGAGAGUCAGGCAGAGGCAUAUCCAUUCCAUUCCUAGCUUGGCCAGUGGCUAGUGAAUGGAAGACAAUUGCUACAGGU